rnacentral:misc_RNA from 1 species
CACAUCGUCGUCUUCCCAUGGCUUGCCUUCGGCCACAUGUUGCCCUUUCUCGAGCUCUCCAAAUCCAUAGCCAAACUCGGCCACCGCAUCUCCUUCGUCUCCACCCCAAGAAACAUCGAGAGACUCCCCAAACUCCCUCCCCAGCUAACCAAUCUUAUUCAUCUCGUCCCACUCACUCUCCCGCCGACAGAUGGUCUCCCGGCCAAUGCCGAGGCCACCUCCGACAUCCCCGGCAAUCUGGCUGCGUACCUCAAGAAAGCCUUAGAUGGCCUCCAGUCGGAGUUUAUCAAGUUCAUGGAGGAGGCGUCCCCUAAGGUCGACUGGAUCAUCAUGGACUUUGCACAGUGGUGGCUGCCCAAGAUUGGUGAGGAGUUUGGGGUGCCGUGUGUCUUCUUCAGCGUGUUCAUCCCCGCUAUGUAUAAUUUCUUUGGUCUGCGGUGGGGCAACGAACCAACACUGGAGG